UCAACUUUCGAUGGUAGUGUAUCUGACUACCAUGGUGAUCACGCGUAACGGAGAAUAAGGGUUCGCCUCCGGAGAGUUCGCCUGAGAAAUCGCGAACACAUCUAAGGAAGGCAGCAGGCGCGAAAAUUACCCACUCUCAGCACGAGGAGGUAGUGACGAAAAAUAACGAGACCGUUCUCUUUGAGGCCGGUCAUCGGAAUGGGUACAAUUUAAACCCUUUAACGAGUAUCUAUGAGAGGGCAAGUCUGGUGCCAGCAGCCGCGGUAAUUCCAGCUCUCAAAGUGCAUAGAAUUAUUGCUGCGGUUAAAAAGCUCGUAGUUGGAUCUGUGCCAUAGGAAGUGGUCCACCUUCGGGUGCGUACUGCUCUCCUAGGCUUUUUGCUGGUUUUCCCGUCGUAGCCUUCACUGGUUGCGGCGGGUGGCUGGCGAGUUUACUUUGAGAAAAUCAGAGUGCUCAAUACAGGCGUAUCGCUUGAAUGAUUGUGCAUGGAAUAAUAGAAAAGGAUUUCGGUCCUCUUUUAUUGGUUUUGUGGACUGAGAUAAUGGUUAACAGGGACAAACGGGGGCAUUCGUAUCGCUGCGUGAGAGGUGAAAUUCUUGGACCGUAGCGAGACGCCC
rnacentral:rRNA from 1 species